GAUCAUCAGGCUGAGAGAUGAAAGACCC
rnacentral:piRNA from 1 species